rnacentral:rRNA from 1 species
UACGGAGGGGGCAAGCGUUGUUCGGAAUUAUUGGGCGUAAAGCGUAUGUAGGCGGCUAGGUAAGUCAGGCGUGCAAGCCCGUGGCUCAACCACGGAAUUGCGUUUGAAACUACUUAGCUUGAGUACAGGAGAGGAAAGCGGAAUUCCCAGUGUAGCGGUGAAAUGCAUUGAUAUUGGGAAGAACAUCUGUGGCGAAGGCGGCUUUCUGGUCUGUUACUGACGCUGAGAUACGAAAGCCAGGGUAGCGAACGGG